GCAAAGACUGCGAAAAGAAGAGUAAGUACCGGAUACAUUUACAGAGAGUCCUGCUGCUGAGAGAGGAUAUGGUUUGAAGAUACUGAACAUGGUCUUGGAGUUGCGCACCGAACACAUUUAGAAUGAAGCCUGCCGUCAUUAUGAGGGCUGUGGGGAUUUCGUGCCAGGCUGCGACGGUUUCGCCCGUUAUAGCGAUAGAGUAUAAGGUAACAGGUCUUGCCCGGCAAUUUCCGGGGCAGGAAUUUGACCCGUACUCGAUGAGGUUCCUGCCGUGAGGCCGGAACAAAUUUGGAGUGGUAACGCGAAGUCAUACUCUCGUCUCCGAA
rnacentral:ncRNA from 1 species